rnacentral:rRNA from 2 species
AACGCGAAGAACCUUACCGGGGCUUGACAUCCUGCGCUAUCCUAGGAGACUAGGUUUCCGGGCAACCGGACGCAGAGACAGGUGCUGCAUGGCUGUCGUCAGCUCGUGCCGUGAGGUGUUGGGUUAAGUCCCGCAACGAGCGCAACCCUUGCCGCGUGUUGGUCGCAAGAUCUCUCACGCGGGACCGCCGGUGACAAGCCGGAGGAAGGUGGGGAUGACGUCAAGUCAGCAUGGCCCUUACGUCCCGGGCUACACACGUGCUACAAUGGAAGGGACAACGAGUCGCGAACCCGCGAGGGCAAGCUAAUCUCACAAACCCUUUCUCAGUUCGGAUUGAAGGCUGCAACUCGCCUUCAUGAAGUCGGAAUCGCUAGUAACCGUAGAUCAGCUACGCUGCGGUGAAUACGUUCCCGGGCCUUGUA